CCAAGGAGCAGCCCCGCGCCUGCAUUGCAGAGGCUGUCCGGACGGCGAUUGAUUUGUAGCUGUUGAGGGAAUACUGGCUCGUUACUGAGAGCACGAAGAUCAGCAAUGGCCCUCAGAUUUUUAAGUGAGAGGUAAGACUGCUGAAGAGAGAGACAGAGAAAGCCAGAGAGGACAAGACACAAGGGGAAACCCAGCAGGAGCUUGAAAACAACGUGUCAGGAGUCGGCUGUUCUCUAGGGGUUCUUCGCACCUCAACCCCCCGGUCAGCUGUGCGCUGGUGAGGCGAGCCGGCUGCUUUGCUACUUCCGUUAGCACAAUGUCCUUUGACCCGCAUUGAACCAUAGGAUAGGGUGGCCCACGAAGGAUACAACGGACCCGUCCUUCAUAUCUGGGGAAAAGAAGGACGCAUUUGUCAGCCCUAUUUGGAGGAACCUGCAAAGUUGUAGACUUCAUUACCUCAUAAUGACGUAAUCAGUCAACAAAUGCAUCCUUCAAAGAAUGCAGCCCCUCAAUUUGGACACAGCAAUAGUGAAUGACACCCGUGAAUCGGUGAAUCUGUGUUUGAUUAAUCUGUGGC